rnacentral:rRNA from 1 species
AUUGAACGCUGGCGGCAUGCCUUACACAUGCAAGUCGAACGGCAGCACGGGGCAACCUGGUGGCGAGUGGCGAACGGGUGAGUAAUGCAUCGGAACGUGCCAUUGAGUGGGGGAUAACGUAGCGAAAGUUGCGCUAAUACCGCAUAUUCUGUGAGCAGGAAAGCAGGGGACCGCAAGGCCUUGCGCUCUUUGAGCGGCCGAUGUCAGAUUAGCUAGUUGGUGAGGUAACGGCUUACCAAGGCGACGAUCUGUAGCGGGUCUGAGAGGAUGAUCGCCACACUGGAACUGAGACACGGUCCAGACUCCUACGGAGGCAGCAGUGGGGAAUUUUGGACAAUGGGCGCAAGCCUGAUCCAGCCAUGCCGCGUGAGUGAAGAAGG